rnacentral:rRNA from 1 species
GUUACAUUCGCAGCCAUACUAACUAGUGCUGGCGUUGGUUUCUUUGCUAAAUUGAUGUAUCUAUUGAUCUUCAUGAUCUUCUAUCUUCUAGACGAGAUCGUCAUCUUCUUAAUUGGCGCAUGGACAUUACGACUAUGGGUUGGUGGUCAAAAAAUCACUGGCAACUACCCCUGGUUCAGGCAAUUGUCUUCUUGGCUCUU